CGGCGCGAGUUUGAGCGCGGCGCGCGGCGGCUGGCUCUCGGCUUCUCUCGACCCGCGCUCGCCCGCCUCUGCCGGCUCCCGCCAACCUGCAGAGGGCUGAGCCCGCCGGGACCAGGAUCCGCCCCUCGAAGGGAGGCUGCGCGUGGGAAAGGGAAGGCACACUCAGUUGUUUGUAAAUUGGGGGGUGGAGUGGGUACCUGAAGGAGAAGAACACAUUGGAGGUGAAUUGUAGGCCCCGGACCUCCGAUCCUUUUUCGCGGCCUGGGAUUGGGGCCCGGGAGUAGGGGAGGAGGAUAUCCGGGGAAGAGAACAGCAUGCGGGGCGUGCUGUCCUGGCACCUCGUGAUCUCAGAGUUCUCGAAAAGGGAUCGAACUCGGGACCUUGCGCUUGUGAGGCAGGCACUUGAACCACUAAGCUAAAUCCCCGACCCCAUGACUGUAUUUCUUUGGAGAAAGAUGAUUGGCUGCAGAGGAGAAUUGAGUACAAGAAUGGAGAGAGAUAAGAGAUGAGAGAAUAAUUAGCAGGUGCCAUGAACUGUUUCUCCUCUGCGACAUCCCUCUGCCAUGUGCCACUCUGUCUUGGAGCCAGCUGAUUAUGGACUGAAACCUCUACAAACUGGAUACAUGCCAAACUAUUUAUAGAAGAUGUGACAAGGAAUCUGAGAUUUUCCUCAACAUAAUGCUGGAAGUGAGGAGUGAAUGGAGGAAUGGCAAACCAGCUUCUAGAAAGACCUGCAACAACCCUUGUCACCCAUGGUGGACUUGGCACCAGGAUGACCAGCUCUGGGGACAGCACCUUGGUGUCAGCCAACAUUACUCCUGGCCCAGUGGUACUCACAGUACCGGCAGCUCCUGAGAACUUGGAACUUUGGGGUUGGCAGGCACACUAUAGGCCCCAGUUCCACAUCGAGAAUCCAGAAAACCUGCAUUCUUAUUAAUCUGCCUUUCUUCACAUGUCUUCUUUGAAGAAUUCCCGUGUGUGUGUGUGUUUGCCAUAUAUGAGACAGAUUUUACACAAAUUUUCUGUCUCAGGGAAGAGGACCUGAAUCGGCCACUUUUACCAUAAUCUGUGAAAAUAAACUACAAGAGAGUUCAAUGAACAGACAUCAUAC
ensembl:lncRNA